ACCUUACUGUGGCAUGUACUCAAAUGUGUUCGUACUCGCAGUGCAGUGAGAUCACUUUUUGACUUAAAGACUUCAUAGUAAAAGUACUCUUUGUUACAUUAAUCAUGGGACGUGUUCAAAUUGAAACAAUCAAGGAUGGUGACGCAACAAACUAUCCUAAAAAGAACCAAACCGUAACAGUCCAUUACACAGGGACUUUGACCAAUGGGAAGAAGUUUGACUCGUCAAGGGAUCGUGGUAAACCUUUCCAGUUUAAGAUUGGAAAGGGACAAGUCAUCAAAGCUUGGGAUGAAGGAGUAGCUCAGAUGUCAGUAGGACAGCAAUGCAAGCUGACUUGCCCACCUGACAUGGCAUACGGGGCCGAAGGCAUCAAGGGAACAUAUCCUUUACAAGACAAUAUGUAGCCAUCCACCUCAAAACUAACAAUAAGUCACUAGCGAAAGUUCUCUGUAUAUAGAUAUAGCCAAAUAAGUCAUUUUUAGUCUUAAAAAAACUAAAAGGGCAAUUCCAUAAAAUAUGUACGUCCGACCCCCUAUAUGUGGGACCUUCAUGAAAUUUUCUGUCUCUGAUUUCUUGUUCUUUUGACAGUCUGUUAUGUUCUCAAAGGACCAUGACUUGAUCAGUUUAUAAAGUGAAGUAAGACUUGAGAAAAAUGGGGGUCGGAUGUUUAAAAAAGUUGAUCAUUUCAUGGAAUUGCCCAAAAGUAGAAAAUUAGCUUAUCUGGAAGAGUAGUAAAUGUUCAUCAUACCGUCCAAAUUUGAAGUAGUAAAGUUGAAUAAAAUUCAAGAUACAAGCGUAUCUUUGACACCAUUUUUUGCAGACUGCUUGAAUGUUUCGACAAGAUUGCACAGAGUGCAUAACCCGUGUUUGAGUGAACCUUGAACUUCAAAACCUUGUUUUCUCCAUUGCGCAGCUGUCCCUGAAUUUAUUCUGCAUUCAAUCAAGUACAUGUGAGGGCUAUCAUCAAUUUUGACAAGUUAUAUAUUAUUUUUAAGCUUGGGAUGUGAUAUUUCAAUCUCGGCGAAAAUCUCAACCUCGGUGAAAAUCUCAAAAUUCAUUUUAGGUGACUUAUUAUUGGUUUUAGAAGUGGAGAUACAUGUAUAACAAAGUAUGUGCUAUUGUUACUCUAAUUUUCUCACUAUCAACAAGAUUUCUGUAAUUUAUUCAUGUAUUGGUAUUUAUUCUGAGUCUCUGCACAUGAGAUGAUGCCCAUUCCACAAUUACUGCAUUCUUUGUGGUAUAAUUCCAAGAAAGAGGUUUAGAAUGAAUAUUCAAUGGUCACUUGUUAGUUUUUAUAUAGAACUUCACAUAUUGUAUUGUCUGAAAAUGCAGAUCUUCAUAAGUUUCAUUUACAUGUAUAUAGCACUUAAUACUUUGUGUUUCUAAGCACUUAAAGGGGAAUUACUAUUACCCCGGUCAGGAUCCAUCACUGUUGCACCUUGUCAGAGAAUGACAUACUUGGAUAUUGGUGUCUUGCCGGAGGACAUUAGCUCCGGGUUGGAUUUGAACCCUAGACGCUUGGUUUAAGUGACUGAGCCACUACAUCACAACACCCCCAUGUAAAAAAUCAUAGAUUGUAGUGAUAGGUCUACUUGUACUUUGUACAUUAUCUUAAUCAAACCCUCCUACUUUUUUAAAUAUUUUCUUAAUACUUAAAGUAUUUUGAAUAAUCUUGGAGUUGAAAUGAUGAAAUUCUGUGUUAUAUCAAUUGUUUUCCUUAACAGAUAUUUCUACUAUUCCACCCAAUGCAACUCUCCUCUUCGAUGUUGAACUGAUUUCAAUAAAAUAAACUGGACGGACGUUACAGCUACUGUUUUUUUUUUUCUUUUCUUUUUUCACUCAUGAACAUUAAAUGAUAUUUUCAAUACUCUACGCUCAGAGGAGAGAAGUUUCUACAAAAGUGUACCCACAGAACUCAGAGUGGGUCGAACGAUUAUCUUACAGUACCUAGUAAAUGCACCUUCAAUUACGCCACAAUCCACCAUUUUGCUUAGGACUGCACAAAAGCAACAGGAGACUGGGACAUUGACUCUGACAAGAACCGUUAUACAGAUAUUGCUUGCAGAGAUGUUGAAUGUAACAUUUAAUUUCCCCAACAGUUGAAGUUAGUUGUCAUUUCAGGUAGUUAAAUACAUCCAGUACAUGUACUUGACCAGCAUAUUAUGCUGAUUGCUGAUGUGUAUGUAUUGCAAGCCAUUUUUUAAUUUAAUCUAAUUUCUUAAUUUCUUGAUAUUAAUGAUUGCCAAGACACAAAUGAUUGAUUGAUAUCAAGAAAAUUGGUUGAAUAAUGAAAGUAAUCGCCAAACAUAUGGUGCCAGCUCCGGAACUGUACCCCAUUGGAUGUGCUUGAUAAAGAUUUAUUUAAAAUCUGGAAUAUUUCCAUUGUGAAUACAUUCUAAUUAAAUAAUAUCAGGAGAAUCAUAAAGGCAUCCAUUAUUUUCUCAUCAAAAUUGAGUGACUUCACUUAUGAUAUGCUAAAGGAUUUUACACAUUUUCAUUUUUGUCCAACUCUAGUUUUCAUGUUCUACUUAAAACUUUAUGGAAUUUAAUGUAAUACUUCAUGCUUGCAUGAAUUAACUUCAAUGAUCAUCAGCACAUGCUAAUUUCAUGCAUUCCUUUUCAAGCAAAUCCGGGUUCUCCAAGGAUCUUUUGUUCAAUUACAUGUUGUUUUAUUAGCUUUUUUUCAUUAUUUUAAAAUGUAGUCUUUGUGUAAUAUUUUCAAGGCUAGUUCAUUAUUAAUGCUUACACUGUGGUACAUUUUGUAACAUACAGUAUGAAUUAUUGUUAUGAAUUACGAAAAAAAAAAUGUUUAGCUUUGAUAUUUCCAAUAAUGCACACUCCCUGUAAUCCAUUGUAAUCAUUUACAGUGCAAUUAAAUGAAAUAAAUCAUUAA